ACAACCUCAUAUCAGUUAGACCUUCUCCGACGGAGUGGUGGAAAUCCGACGAAUAGUUUUGACAGCCCAAACUCUCCUCCAACCCACAUGUCAUUUACACGUGAAAUGUGACAUAAAAGCUUUCCCCUGUCAAAUUUGACAGCUUGAACUCUUAUGGUCAUUUAUUUUUUUUAUUGUUUCACCGUCUUUCCUUCGCGCCUCUCUCUUCCUACAUCUCACACAAAACACAGAAACUCCACAGAAAGAAACAAUCUUGCUACAAAAUUUCUUCUCUGUUCUUGAAUAUCAUGAACAUGGGUUGAAAUUUUUUCAGAUUCGUCUUCAGAUGCUGAAAAUGAGGAAUUUUGGAAACUUGCUAAUUCAUCAACAGAUGAAGAAUUGAUGAAUUUGCAGAUUAUUGCUCUACAAGAGACUGGAAGGAGAAGGCGUACUGAUUUCGACCUUGUGGUCACCAAUGCCCAGACCAAUGAAGAAUGUACAAAAUUUGGCUAUCAAAACUUUAGUGGUGAGUUGGAUCAUUCUUAGAGGGGACAGGUUCUGUGAGAUUGAAAUCUGGGUUAUGCGAAAUGGUUAAUCUGACUUUAACUUCCUAGGAAACGCAUUUUGGUUCCCGAAUAUGUGAUGCAUGGACAUUUUUCUGCUCAAUCUGAUGUCUAUAGUUUUUGGCGUGUUGAAUUUGGAGAUAAUAAGUGGACAGAAAAAUAGUUGCUUUGCUCAUUGAGAGAAUGUGGACUCUUUCCAAGCUAUGUAAAGUUUUCUUUCCUCAAGUGUGGAGAGAAUGUGGAGACUCUUCCAAGUUAUGCAUGGAAAAGCUGGAGGGAAGGGACACCUUCAAAUGUGAUAGAUCCCACAUUGAAGAAUGGUUCAAAAACUGAAAUAAUGAGAUGCGUACACAUUGGACUGUUAUGUGUGCAAGAAAAUCUAGCUGAUAAACCAACCAUGGCUUCAGUUAUCCUCAUGUUGAAUAGCUACUCUCUCAGUCUCCCAGUACCCUUAAAACCAGCAUUUUUUAAUGUAUAGUAGCGUCGGAUCUAGGAGAAACUUUGUCUCUCUCGAAGUAACCAAAAAUGAUGAUGCUUCAUUAAUCACUGAAGUAAAUCCUCGCUAGAGCUUGAAGAUUGAUCGAUAUAACAGCACUUUUUCGAUCAUAAUGUAAUUUAAUUAGCAUCCAUCCGUUUGAUUCACUUUGGUACUGAACAGGGCGAUUCAUUCAUUUAUUGUCUAGAUACGUGCUUAAAUAAAUGAAUGAAUGAGGAAGAACAUGGUAUAUAUAGACAUUAAUCAAAAAAGAGGGCUAAGUCGGUUGCUAUUCUGUUGCUUUAAAUUGGUUUUGCAGUGGCUCUCAUUUGUUUAUUAACUUUUUUGGUACCACUUUAACUAGUUCAGUUUGAUGGGAUUUGGCUCCUCCUU